GGCAAACUAAUUGAUAUGGUCCAAAUAACACUUUUGUUCCAUACAACUUUAUAAGCUCUAACAAAAACACAGUACUGCAACUUCUCUAAAGCAACUUCUUAAACUUCUGCAUUGGCUUUGGCAAAACAUGUUGCCCUUCUUAAAUCACCAAUUCUGCAUUGUUACUAGUCUUUGUCUUUGUAGGUACCAACUUCUGUUUGCCUUUCGAACUAGCUACCACCUUC
rnacentral:lncRNA from 1 species